rnacentral:rRNA from 1 species
UACGUAGGAUGCAAGCGUUGUCCGGAAUUAUUGGGCGUAAAGAGCGCGCAGGCGGUAUGACAAGUCAGAUGUGAAAGAGGCCGGCUUAACCGGCAAGGGUCAUUUGAAACUGUCAGACUAGAGUGCAGCAGAGGAUAGUGGAAUUCCCGGUGUAGUGGUGAAAUGCGUAGAUAUCGGGAGGAACACCAAUGGCGAAGGCAGCUCGCUGGGACGGUACUGACGCUGAGGCGCGAAAGCGUGGGGAGCAAACAGG